rnacentral:lncRNA from 10 species
GGUCUCCGAGGCUUCCAAAGAGAGCAGUGUUAACUCCACACCAGGGGACAAAGGACCAGGGAUCAAGGGCAAGGCGAGCUCCAUGUGGGCCAAAGAGGGUCAGGGUACAAAGAAGCCCUGGAGGUUUCUGCAGACGAUGCGGCUGGGGCGGAGCCCGUCUUACCUGAGCAGCCCCCAGCAAGGCAGCCAGCCCAGCGAGUCCAGCGGUGGCGACUCCAGAGGGUGAGCUGAGGGCAAGCUCAGAGCCCAGGGUGAGUCAUUUCCUGUCUCCAUGGAUUGAUGGACCCUGAGAGAGGUGGUCCCUCCAGGCUCGGCAAGGCCACAGGUGUCAAAAGCAUCAAAGCACAGAACAUCAGUCACGGUCACUACGUGGGUGAGGUGGUCUCAUAUGGUUAUCAGGACAUUUUCCUGAUGACAAAUCUGAAUACAUUUCAUACAUAUCA